AUUGAACGCUGGCGGCAGGCUUAACACAUGCAAGUCGAACGAGUGGCGGACGGGUGAGUAAUGUAUGGGAAUCUAGCUGAUGGAGGGGGAUAACUACUGGAAACUGUUGCUCAUACCGCAUACUAUAGGAUGAGCCCAAAUGGGAUUAGUUAGUUGGUGAGGUAAAGGCUCACCAAGCCGACGAUCUCUCGCUGGUCUGCGAGGAUGACCAGCCACACUGGGACUGAGACACGGCCCAGACUCCUACGGGAGGCAGCAGUGGGGAAUAGUGCGCAAUGGGGGCAACCCUGACGCAGCCAUGCCGCGUGUAGGAAGAAGGCCUUAGGGUUGUAAAGUACUUUCAGUAGCGAGGCGUUAACUACAGAAGAAGCACCGGCUAACUCCGUGCCAGCAGCCGCGGUAAUUC
rnacentral:rRNA from 1 species